rnacentral:rRNA from 1 species
UACGUAGGGGGCAAGCGUUGUCCGGAUUCAUUGGGCGUAAAGAGCGUGUAGGCGGCCAGGUAGGUCGGUUGUGAAAACUGGAGGCUCAACCUUCAGAGGUCGACCGAAACCAUCUGGCUAGAGUCCGGGAGAGGAGAGUGGAAUUCCUGGUGUAGCGGUGGAAUGCGUAGAGAUCCGGAAGAACACCGGUGGCGAAGGCGGCCUGCUGGGCAGUUUUGCUGACACUGAGGCGCGACAGCGUGGGGAGCAAACAGG